AGGCCCGGGGCUGCUAGCCCCGGGCCUCCAGGCCCGGGGCUGCUAGCCCCGGGCCUCCCAGGGGCUAUGCAGCGAGCACAAAAUCCCAAGGAAUUAUAUGCCUGAAUAUAUGCGAAAAUAUAUGCGAGACCCAGAAUCACAAACACCUGCUACAACCCCCGGCCUCUAGGUUCUGAGUCAUUACCAUGGCUCACCAUGGUUGAAGCCCCUCCCUGUACCUAGAGAAAGGGGUCACAGUACCCAAAACAGCCUCCAGACACUAGGGUCUCAGCUGAGAAACUCCCUGGAAAGGUCCGAUGGUUUGGAGACACAGAAUGGGAAGUGCCCCCCUCGCCCGGGCCUGCUAGCCCCGGGCCUCCUCGUCCGGGUCUGCUCGCCCGGGGCCUCCUCCCUGGGGCUGUUCGCCGGGGCUGCUCGCCAGGGGCCUCCAUGCCCGGGGCUGCUAGCCCCGGGCCUCCACGCCCGGGUCUGCUCGCCUGGGGCCUCCUGGCCAGGGGUUGCUCGCCUGGGGCCUCCUCACCCGAGGCCGAUCACCCGGGGCCUCCAUGCCCGGGACAGCUCGACCGGGGCCUCCUCGCCCGGGGCCUCCAGGCCCGGGGCGGCUCGCCCCGGGCUCCAGGCCCGGGGCGGCUCGCCCCGGGCUCCAGGCCCGGGGCUGCUCGCCAGGGCCUCCAGGCGCGGGGCUGCACGCCGGGGCCUCCAGUCCCGGGGCUGCUCGCCCUGGGCCUCCAGGCCCGGGGCUGCUCGCCCGGGGCCUCCUCGCCCGGGGCUGCUCGCCCGGGGCCUCCUCGCCCGGGGCCUCCAGGGCCGUGACUGCUCACCCGGGGCCUCCUCGCCUGAGGCUGCUCGCCCGGGGCCUCCAGCCCCAGGGCUGCUCGCCCUGGGGCCUCCUGGCCAGGGGCUGCUCGCCCGGGGCCUCCUGACCAGGGGCUGCUCGCCCGGGGCUGCUCGCCAGGGCCUCUUCGCCCGGGGCUGCUCGCCUGGGGCCUCCAGGCCCGGGGCUGCUCCCCCGGGGCUGCUCGCCAGAGGCCUCCAGAUGCGGGGCUG
rnacentral:lncRNA from 1 species